AUGGGCGCAGCCUGAUGCAGCGACGCCGCGUGAGGGAUGGAGGCCUUCGGGUUGUAAACCUCUUUCGCCAGUGAAGCAGGCCUGUCCCUUUUGUGGGUGGGUUGACGGUAGCUGGAUAAGAAGCGCCGGCUAACUACGUGCCAGCAGCCGCGGUAAUACGUAGGGCGCGAGCGUUGUCCGGAAUUAUUGGGCGUAAAGAGCUCGUAGGCGGCUGGUCGCGUCUGUCGUGAAAUCCUCUGGCUUAACUGGGGGCUUGCGGUGGGUACGGGCCGGCUUGAGUGCGGUAGGGGAGACUGGAACUCCUGGUGUAGCGGUGGAAUGCGCAGAUAUCAGGAAGAACACCGGUGGCGAAGGCGGGUCUCUGGGCCGUUACUGACGCUGAGGAGCGAAAGCGAGGGGAGCGAACAGGAUUAGAUACCCUGGUAGUCCACGCCGUAAACGUUGGGCACUAGGUGUGGGGGGCCUUUUCCGGGUCUUCCGCGCCGUAGCUAACGCAUUAAGUGCCCCGCCUGGGGAGUACGGCCGCAAGGCUAAAACUCAAAGGGAUUGACGGGGGCCCGCACAAGCGGCGGAGCAUGCGGAUUAAUUCGAUGCAACGCGAAGAACCUUACCAAAG
rnacentral:rRNA from 1 species